rnacentral:lncRNA from 1 species
GCUGCUACAGUGCCCGCCCGGUGUGCAGGAGACCCCAUUCCAUCCCCAGCCCCACAAGAAGAGUAGGUAAACAGGCCAUGUGGACACCCAACUGUUCUCUGCUCCCUCUUCCCUUCUGAGGCUGUUGCUAGCACUCCUUAGAAGAAAGCUGCUUCCUGCUGCUUCCUGUAAGCGCAUCAGUCAGCCUCUCAAUCGACAGAAUCAUCCUACACGGAAAUGCUGCGUUGAGAACGCACAGUGCUCCAGUCUCCAGCUCUGCCUUGCGACACAGUCCAAGCGAUGUCACUUCUCCCUGACCCACAGGGCCCUGUCCUCCCUUCCCAGCUUCGCGGGCUAUUUCUGAAUCUUCUGGUUCUGUAUCAAAAUUUCUGCUUCCUCCUAG